AUCGCAGACCGUAGCAAUAUCUUAAAGCAAAAUUUUGAACAAAAAAGGAAAACUUUUUCCUUUGCACAUGUUUUUUUCAUCGUCUACUUCAACGUUUUAUAUUCAUCCAACAAAAUGCAUAUUUUCUAGCAAAGGCAUUUUACAAUUUCUUUCCGUUAUUAAGUUUUAAGAGAGUAGACAGAAAAAAACCAACUAAGAAAAUAGUAUUAAAUAAAAAAAAGAACAAGCUGCCUAAUUUGUUUCUUGAAAACAGAUUUUUCCUUUUUUGUUUGAUUUUUUCUGAUUUCUGAAUCAUCAAAAGGAUAAUCGUCUCUUUAGACAUAAACAUAGACACAAAGGAAAACAAAAACGAGACGUUAAACGCACACAUCUACAACAACAAAUAUACAAGUGCUCGUUUUACAUUUUUUCUACUUCUUUUAAUUUAAUGUAAAGAAAAUCCUUUGCUGGUGGUUUUAUUAUAAAUUUUUAAUUGUUCAAACUCAUUGAGCAGUUAUUGUGGUAUAUUGAUCUA